UCACCUGAAAGCUUUGCUGAAAUGCAGAUUCUGGUUCAGUAAGUAUGGGGAUUCUGCAUUUCUAACAAGUUCCCAGGUAAUGC
rnacentral:miRNA from 1 species